ensembl:snRNA U6 U6 spliceosomal RNA
UCGCUUCAGCAGCACAUAUAUAAAAAUUGGAAUGAUACAGAGAAGAUUACCAUGGCCCUGGCACAAGGAUGACACACAAAUUUGUAGAAGUUCCAUAUUUUU